rnacentral:lncRNA from 1 species
CGGCUUCUGGAUUUACAACUCUUCACCAGUCUAUAAACACAAUUAACCACAGUAUGACGUCCAUCUGAUGAGUGAUAACGGAUUAACAGUCAUAGUGUACCGAUAAAUAAUGUUAUGAUAGUCUUUUAGCAGAGUUCAUCACUAGGUCGGACUUUAUAGGCUGCACCAGUACCGAUGAACUUGAUUUAUCACUGUAUUAUUAUUUAAUUUAGAACAUUAAUCCAUGUUAUCUUCAUUUCCACCUC